rnacentral:rRNA from 1 species
UUAACCGGAUUAGAUACCCUGGUAGUCCACGCCGUAAACGAUGGGUGCUAGUUGUCAGGCAGCAUGCUGUUUGGUGACGCAGCUAACGCGUUAAGCACCCCGCCUGGGGACUACGGUCGCAAGACUAAAACUCAAAGGAAUUGACGGGGGCCCGCACAAGCGGGGGAGCAUGUGGGUUAAUUCGAGGCAACGCGAAGAACCUUACCAGCUUUUGACAUCCCGGUCGCGGUUACCAGAGAUGGUUUCCUUCAGUUCGGCUGGACCGGUGACAGGUGCUGCAUGGGUGUCGUCAGCUUGUGUCGUGAGAUGUUGGGUUAAGUCCCGCAACGAGCGCAACCCUCGCCUUUAGUUGCCAGCAUUUAGUUGGGCACUCUAGAGGGACUGCCGGUGAUAAGCCGGAGGAAGGUGGGGAUGACG